ensembl:lncRNA
GCUGAGCUCUGCGGUACCGGGGGGAGGGAGGGACGGAGGGAGAAGGGUGGGUGGAGAGCAGCGCCAGGAGGGGAGGGGAGGAGAGGAGAGGAGAAGAGAGCCCUGUGCGGCCAUAACCCACCUCCCUGUGGGGUUGGGGAAUGGGUGUGGGAUUGGGGUUCGGAUGUGGGAUAUGGAAUUAGGGCUGUGGGAUCGGGAUUGGGAUUAUGGUGUGGGAUUGGAAGGUGGGGUUGGGGUUGGGAUAAGGUCUGGGAUAUGGGAUUAGGGAUAUCGAUUGAGAUUGGAAUGUGGGAUUGGGAUGUGGGGUAUUGGAUUCGGGGUGUGGGAUUGGGAUUUGCAUUGGGAUGGGGGCUGUGGGGUUGAGGUUGGGGUUGGGGUUGGGAUAUAGGAUUAGUGAUUUGGUAUUGGGAUUUCCAUUGGGAUGGGGGCUGUGGGUCUGGGAUGGGGGCUGUGGGGCCGGGAUGGGGGCUGUUGCCGUGGAAUAUUGGGUUGGGAUCGAGGUUAGGAUGUGGGAGAUAGGAUGAGGGGUGUGGGAUUGGGAUUUGCAUUGGGAUGUGGAAUGUGGGGC